AGCUUACUCGGAGUGAAAACUCUUCAGGGCCUCUCAGAGCUACCUAAGGUAAAGAAGGUGAGGCACAGAGGAGUCAGAUAAAAGCGCUGGUGCACAGCAGCUCCCUGAGGUACACAGAAGCUCUUGCUCACCUGCCACUUCCAGCCUUCGCAUUUUCCAGUUGUCGGGUGAGGAGUUUAGCAA